UGAUGUAGGAAUACUCAAUGUUAUUUUAAGUUAGUGGGCCCAUUCAAGUACUCAACAUAUUUUUGCCACAUCAUUUAGUAAAUCCAUUAUGUAGUGUCUCCAGCAUCAUUCAUUUUGGUAAUGGGCGGAGAUUGUGAAGAGGAAGGCUAAUGGUCCGAAGAGAAAGUAGUUCCGUUAAUUUGAGUUCAAAGAAAGGUUGCCAGAGUAAUUUCAACAUUUAAUAUGGGACAAAAGAAAAGGUGUUAUCGUUUUAUUUGGUAACAUGGAAAUAUUAGUGAGGAAGUAUUAAUGAAGGUGAACACAAAUAAGAGGAAGAUGCUUGUUUUUUCUUGUGGAAGUAAUAGGUCAUGUUUGCUGGUUACUGCUGGAAUUAGGUAACUUUACCCUUAAUUCUCAACUAUCAAAGUCUGUUGGUAGAUACAUACAAUCUGGAGCAUA